UACGUAGGCAGCAAGCGUUGUUCGGAAUUACUGGGCGUAAAGGGCGCGUAGGCGAUUCGAUAAGUCCCGUGUGAAAUCCCUCGGCUCAACUGAGGAAUGGCACGGGAAACUGACGGGCUUGAGUUCGGGAGAGGGAAGCGGAAUUCCGGGUGUAGCGGUGAAAUGCGUAGAUAUCCGGAGGAACACCGGUGGCGAAGGCGGCUUCCUGGACCGACACUGACGCUGAGGCGCGAAAGCUAGGGGAGCAAACGGG
rnacentral:rRNA from 1 species